rnacentral:rRNA from 1 species
UAAGGAAUAUUGGUCAAUGGACGCAAGUCUGAACCAGCCAUGCCGCGUGGAGGAUUAAGGCCCUCUGGGUUGUAAACUCCUUUUAUCUGGGAAGAAAUCCAUAUAUUCUUAUAUGGUUGACGGUACCAGAGGAAUAAGCACCGGCUAACUCCGUGCCAGCAGCCGCGGUAAUACGGAGGGUGCAAGCGUUAUCCGGAUUCACUGGGUUUAAAGGGUGCGUAGGCGGGUAAGUAAGUCCGUGGUGAAAUCUCUGAGCUUAACUCAGAAACUGCCGUGGAUACUAUUUGCCUUGAAUAUUGUGGAGGUGAGCGGAAUAUGUCAUGUAGCGGUGAAAUGCUUAGAUAUGACAUAGAACACCAAUUGCGAAGGCAGCUCACUACGCAAUCAUUGACGCUGAGGCACGAAAGCGUGGGGAUCAAACAGG